AGCGGCGGUUCCUUAGCGCUCGCUUUCCUCCUCCCUGCGCCGGCCAGGACAGGGGGAAGGGCCGGCGGCGAUCCGGGGGCGUCUCACGACCCUGCCUUCCGUGGCUUCAGUUUCCGCCGGGAGGAACAAGUAUUCUUAUAAAAGGAGGCUUCCCCCUGGAAAGAAGACAGACAUGCUGGCUCCUGGAAGCACCCCUAUCUCCUCUAAAGAAGAUGAUGGGCACAGAAGAACCUCCACUUAGAGCUUGCUUUAAGUAUGGCAAGGCUGACCACUGGACCAAAGAAAAGCAAAAACAAAAACAAAACUCUGUUCAACUCCACUAUGCCAAGAUCCCGUCCAGACCAUGGACAUUCAGGAUACUGGAGAAAUUGAUUACCCUGCUUUGCCUAGACAAGUCUAUAUCUCAGCAGAUUUCCACUUGGUUGACUGACACACUACCCAGGCAGCACCUGCAAACUACAAGCUGCUGAGCUCCAGACUUGCUGAAAGCUGAUGUGAUUGCUCCCUCCCUGUCCCUUCACCUGGGUCAGCUAACCAGAUGCUUCUGAAAAAUGCCCCAUUGCCCAGCCUUUGACUCACUUUUCAGCUUUCUUGGACUCUGACAAUCGACACCCCAAUUCAGCUGGAAGCAGCUACAGAAGAGAGUACACCAUCCCUGCCCACAUAUCAUGCUGAAAAAGGUUUUAAUCAAAAGGAAACUCCCUGACAUAAAGGACAAAAUGGUUACUUUUAAUGCCAAUUGAUAAUAGGAAUGGUGGGAAACAACAACAACAAAAAAUUGACCAGGCGGUGGUGACGCACGCCUUUAAUCCCAGCACUCGGAAGGCAGAGGCUGGUGGAUAUCUGUGAGUUCGAGGCCAGCCUGGUCUACAAAGCAAGUUCCAGGAAAGGCACAAAGCUGCACAGAGAAACCCUGUCUCACCCCCCCCCCCCAAAAAAAAAGGAAUGGUGGAGCCUUUAGUUGCAAUUUAUUAAUCAAGUUGUAUGCACCCUGGCUGCUGAACUCUGUCUCCCACUUCAUUCAAAGCAGGAUCAAUGCAGUUAAGUUCCUAGUCCUUUGGGCCCAAUAUGACCCCCCUGCAGGACCUAGACCUCUGACAUCAAUGAUUUGUUGACCAACCAGAAGAGGAGGAGUUUUAGCUCUUAGUUAUCAGCAUUUUGUCCCAGUCUGCCAUCCUGCCCUGAGCUGCUACCCAUAAUACCUGAGGCUAGACUGCAGCCCCUCAAAUCCUUCACACAGGUAUAGAGCACAACCAUUCCACUCACUCCCUUCUGAUUGGUUGGCCCAGAGCUGGUCCACACCACCAAACCACAGAACUCCCUGACAGGCUGAAAGUUUAUCACCAUGUAAAGUCCCCAACUACGUCUCCCCAUAUUACAUUAUGAUUGGAUGGGACUUGGGAGUUGUUUCUUUGAAGUUUUACCCUUUAAAACUGACUGCUGCCCCUCCCUUUGGGGUGCGGUUUGUAGCCUGAACUCUGCCACCUCCCUGAUAUCAGUUUUUCUAAAUAAAUCUUUGGUUUGCUCAAA